UACCAGCACCCCGAGUGGUCGGGACGUUUUAUUGGGCCUAAAGCAUCCGUAGCCGGUUCUGCAAGUCUUCCGUUAAAUCCACCUGCUUAACAGAUGGGCCGCGGAAGAUACUAUAGAGCUAGGAGGCGGGAGAGGCAAGCGGUACUCGAUGGGUAGGGGUAAAAAUCCGUUGAUCCAUUGAAGACCACCAGUGGCGAAGGCGGCUUGCCAGAACGCGCUCGACGGUGAGGGAUGAAAGCUGGGGGGAGCAAACCGGG
rnacentral:rRNA from 1 species